rnacentral:piRNA from 1 species
UGCCACAUGUAGGCUUUGUCAGCCUAUG